GGCAAGCGUUGUCCGGAAUUAUUGGGCGUAAAGCGCGCGCAGGCGGUCCUUUAAGUCUGAUGUGAAAGCCCACGGCUCAACCGUGGAGGGUCAUUGGAAACUGGGGGACUUGAGUGCAGGAGAGAAGAGUGGAAUUCCACGUGUAGCGGUGAAAUGCGUAGAGAUGUGGAGGAACACCAGUGGCGAAGGCGACUCUUUGGCCUGUAACUGACGCUGAGGCGCGAAAGCGUGGGGAGCAAACAGG
rnacentral:rRNA from 1 species